CCUUACGAAACUUUAGCAUGGAGGUGUGAAAUUCAAAGCAAAGUUAUUAUUUAUUUUUCAGUAGAGGGGGGAGGUAAAAAUCACCAAGUUCAAAUCACUAACAUAAGCUGUAUUCAAGAAAGGUAGUCAAGUCUGUUACAGAUUUUAAAAUAACUGAUGAGAAAAUACCCUUAAAUCACAGCUUUAAGAAGGAGAAAACUAUAAGACAUGUUGGCUGUUUCUCUUCAUCAGACUCUGCGAAAAAAUUCAGGUUGGAAUCUGUUUGCUUCUGGUGGAGCUGUGUGAGAGGUUCAUUUUCUUUGAAGUUGUCUGCAAUAUGAUCCCUUUUUGCGCCGUCAAGCUUGGCUAUGGCAACUCCCAGGCAGCCAUUUUGAACUUGUGUUUUACUGGAAUUUCAAUACUUACCCCUGUGUUUGCGAGAUGGCUUGCUGAUGUCUGUCUAGGAAGAAAUAAACUGGUAUAUAUUUGUUUAUUUCUACAUUUUCCACGUGAGUGUCCUCUUCUGACUGUUGUUUUGCAACCUAAUUGGAUAGAUUUUUGUUGGAAGUUUUAGUUCAUGUUAUUCCUAACUUACUCUUAGCAUAAAAUGUGAUAAAUGAAGUGAGAAUGUUGUUUCAAUUUAUUUCAUUCUCUGUAUUAUUUGAGAGAUGCUAGUAAAUGUUCGUGCGUGUGUUUGUGAGGAAGCUUUAAUACCUAUAUCAUUGCACUGAUUAUAUUUCAUAAUAAUUACCUCUUUAUGUGUCUGUCUUCUGUACUCCUUAGAAAACUCUCCUUUUCCCCCUUCCUACUCCAAGUCUAAAUUUGUGACAAAUUCUAUGUGAAACAUGAAGUUCAUUUGCUUCACAACUAAGACGAAAUGUGCUAAAAAGGUUUUUAAAGUUCAUGUGGAAUAAUUGAGGAAUGUUCUCAUCAAAAGGUGGUCUUUUAAUUAGUCAAAUAGUAAUUAAGAUUGCAUAUGAAGACAUGAUUUCUAUAUUAUGAACUACAGUUAUUCUAAAAAAAAUGAAUUAAUUCAAAUCCUACAGUGUGCUUCUUUAUAUAGAAAAAUAAAUAUAUUCACAAAAGCUUGGGAGUGAAUUGAUUGCUACAAAUGUUGAGGAAAUAUCAAGAUUGUUUGAUAUUUGAUGAACAAUCUAGAAUUUUAGGCUGAGAAGUUCAAGUUGUUCUCUAGACAACAAGGAGGCACUGAAGAUACAAAGAAAACAUUUGGGAAGUGCUUUUCUUCAGUAAACAGGAUGGGCAACCACAAUGAGAAGUUAAAUAGACAGAGACCAGAACUCUCAGGAUGAUGGCCUAGACAACGGAGACAUGUCAAUCCAGGAGAGAACAUGGGAAAAACCAAAAAAACUCGGAAACUAAAUAAAGGCACAAAUAUGAUAGAGGAACAAAAAUUAACUCCGAGUUUCUGAGCUGAGGAACUUAGGAAGGUGGUGUGCUGUUCACUAAUACUGAGAAGUACAGCACAGAUGCAGGUUUAGGGGAUGGGGGAAGAGAUGAAUGAGGAAGGGAUGGAUAUCAGGUAUUCAACAUAUCACACAAUUCCAGGCACGUGAUAACUUGCCAUUCACAGGAUGGAUUAGAGGGUGAUUCAAACUUAUAAACCUCUUCCCUGCUUUAGUUCCAAAAAUUAGAAUAAUUUGAAAUAAAACUUAAGUCACUGCAUGGCAAUGAAUAUUCUUUAUCCAGUCCUAUGUGCCGGGCAUUGUUCCAGGAUUUCGGAAGGUAACAGAGAAGAAAGCAGUCUCUUCUCUGCUGAAGUUGACUUUCUGGUGCAGAGAGAGAGAAAAGAAACAAGUAAAUAGAUAUGCCAUAUGUUAACGAGUGUUAUGAUGAAAAAUAAAGCUGGUCAAGGGGAUGAGAUGCACUGGACAGUGACAAGGUUGCUGUUCUGUAGGGGGGAUUGUUUUCUGAUAAGUAGGCAUUUAAGCAAGGGCUUGAAUGAUCUGCCAUUCUUACCUUGGUAACAGGCCAUAUCAGUAGGGGUUGGUAAAGUGGUAAUUCCUAUCAGUCUAAAUUCCUGUGUAAGUCAUCAGAUUCGGACUAAAGGUCCACCUUUGGAAUUUGGCAAAUAAAGACCUCAGUCAGUUCCCUGUCUAUUCAUCUUCUUACUAAAAGUUAUUUUCUUGUGUCCCCUACUCAAGGCUGCCAUCAAAUUCCAGCUGAUGAAUAAAUAUCAGAGGUUCUAUCAAAAAUAUAUCUUCUGUCUGAAUUGCUACAACCUUAGCUCAAAAACGCAGCUUUCUUUUUCUUGACCGUUACCAUGGCCUACUGACUGGACCAUCAGUUAUCAGUGACUCCAGUCCAUACACCUGUCUAUCAAUAACAUUGACUUCAGGAAAAAACAAACCUAUAUAUUGACUUUAUUAUCUAAGACAUAGAAUCCAGCUUAGGACAUACAAACCUUUACAAUCUGUCCCAAAUUUACCUCUCCAGACUUCAGUCUCAAUAGAUGAACUCAACCAUGCUGAACUUCUCCUUGCCUGCUUUCCUCCUUCUUUAAUCUUACAAGUCCUCUUUUCUAGGCCUGAAAUUGUCACCUUCCUUUAUCUUUCCACUCUGUAUCCAAAAAGUGAAAACUUCUGCCCUUCCUUCCACACCCAUAUAGCGUUUGUUGCUUGCUUCUCUGUGCUCAGUCACACUCUGAUCAUCCCUCUAUGACUGCAUUUAUUCCACUACAAUGUAGUUGUCUACCUGCAUGUCUGCCUUCCCUGAUGGACUCAUUAGCUUCUGGAGAAAAGAGCCAGUGGACCCCACUACUCUUGACACAUCUUGGUGCUUUAUACAGAGCUACACGUACAGGUAUGCUCAUUAUGUGGAGCACAAUACCACGGAUCAAAGAGAAAACUUUUUAUCAUAAAUGUCAUUGAUUUGUAUUCUUACUACAUCAAUUUGACAGCUGAUAGAAAUAAAGUUUUGAUCUAAUGACAUCAGUAUAUUAUGACAUUUUCUUAAAAGAUAGAAACAAAGUGCCUUUUUAACGGACACAAAGGUACCACUAAAAGUGCUUUGUCUCUAAAUAAAUGGUUGCUGCAAGAAGCAGUUUCUCUGUCCAUCCUCUUUGGAUAAGCCAGGCCUCAUGUCACGCUUCCAAGACAAAGACUGAGUGACAGAGAGAGAGCAGUUAGUUGCACAUCUGGCUAACCUUGAUAGGAAACAUUUCAAACUCAAUCAUUUAAAGGGCCUACACUCAUGGUAAACCAACCUGUUAUCAAAUAACUAUUGUGUGCAUAUAUUUUUCACAUUGUGAAACCCACUGUAAGGGAGACAGAAACAUUAGGCCAAACUUUUGUCUUGAAGGAGCUUAUAGUCUGAUUUAGAAAACUAACCACAUAAAGCAACCAUAUAAAAAAUUUAUACAAAACAAUAUGAAUGCCACAUGAAGAAAAUGGAAGACACUACUAACAUGGAGAGGCUAUUUUUCACUAAUCAAACCGACAAAAAAAAAAAUUAAUGAUUUGACCACUUGACGACAGGAAUUCCAAGAAGAAGGAGAUUACAUCUGGGUUAUUCUAUAAUAUUAGGCAAGUCACUUAACCUCAUUGAACCUUGGCCUCUUUCUUUAAAAAAAGAUGCUUCAUCAUGGGUUGACAUGAGUUUUAUUCAUGUUUAUGUUGCUGGUUUUACGGUUAAACGGAGCAUGUAGCUGGAAUAUUAACACUUUGAGUUUUCAUGCUUUCCUGAAUUUCUCUUUGCAACCUUUAAACCUUAGUCCCUGAUUGAUUGUAUUAAAUCCAUUAUGAGAAUAUUACUUAAAGUUGUAUUAUAAUUGCAACCUCCACUAAUUAUUCAGUACUGUAGCAGCAAAGUUUUAUUUGUAAGAAUUCAGUUAUUUUUAUACUUAUAUCCACUAUAAAUUUGAUGUUCUAGUCAGUAAAAUGAUGCAAUAAAAUAAAUAUUUUCAAAAAAAAGAAAAUCUAUACCCUGACAUCGCAAAGUUUUUCCAAGAUGAAACAAUAUGGUAUGCAAAAUGUUUUGCAGAACAUAAACAGCUUAGCAAAAGUAUGGAAUUGAAUUAUAAUUUCUAUUAGACAAGAAAAAUCUUCCAGUAUGGUCUCUGCAAGAUGAAAGUGAGAAGAAUACUCAACCCUCUGUUAUCACUUUCUGUCCUCCCCUCUUUUCCACUUGUACUGCGUCAUUCACCCUCACAUCCUUCUCCUCAGCCUUCUCACCUCUGUGUGGGACAAAGAAAGUUCCACCGAGCUGCAUGAGAAGUGAGAGAAAUAAGAAGGGCAUUAAAAGGAGAAAGAGAAUUAGAAAAGGAAAAGAGAGUCUAUGUUCUCCUCCAACUACAAUGAUGUUCUCCUUAAAACACUUUAUUUAACAGGCUUCUAAGGUGUCUGAGAUCAUCGAGCUUUCUAUCACUCUCUUGAUUAAGAACAAAUAACCCUUGUUAGCAGUGGUUUUCUCUGGGGGUGGGAUUACAGGAAUUUUUAGCUUCUUACAUGAUGUAUUUUUGCAUAGCACUAAUUUUGUUAAAAUGGACAUGAUUUGUGUAUACAUUCUGAGAGUAAAGAUAGUUCAAGCUUGGGGGGUGACUAGGACUCUGGAUUAGUUAAAGCGCAUAUUGGAGGAAAUUUUCACGUUUAGAAAAAUCAUGCUAUCUCCUGAAUUGCAAUGAUUAACAAGUAUUUUAAUAAGACAAUCAUAUAAUGAUGCUACUUACAGAGAGAAAACCUUAUUUACGAUGUGAUUUGGUGAUUCAGUUGGUCUGUGCCAUAUUUAUUCUCACUUUUUCUCUAUUUACAGGCACUGCUUUGCUAUCUGUGGUUGCUUUCCCCUUGGAAGAUUUCUAUGUGGGUAUUUACCAUACGGUUAACAACAUACCAAAAAACGAGUGGAACAGGCUGUUUUAUGUACCACUGUUGGCCAUCUGCCUCACCAUGGGAGGAAUAAGAGGCAUCAUUUGUCCACUGGAUGCUUACAGCCUUCAGGAGUAUGGAUCACAGAAAUGAAUGUCUUUUUUUAAUUGGUAAGUAACGCUGGUUAGGAGAGAAAACGAGGUUUAGGACAUUCCUCUCCCUUUUGGGAUUUCUCAUUGUUUGCUCUCCAGUCCCAUUUUGAUGGUAGUAGUUCAGUCUUUGUCAUUGGUUGGGCUGGGUAAUUGACAAUGUGAUGGUGCCUGCGGCAAUGAUUCAGUCAGAAAUCGUCGGAGCAUAUGAGUCAGAUACAGACCAACACAGUUUACCAGAACCUUCUAGAAACUCAUUGAGAAAUUUGACCUCUAAGUAAACAAGUCUGAAGUGGUUUGUCAUAUUGAAUAGAACGUGGCUUUGGAGAUGAAGAGGGCUGAAUGGAAUUCUCACCUCUACUUAGCACAAGAUGCCUGACCUUGGUCAAGUUGUUUAUUCUCUAUAAGCUUCAGUUUAAUCAUUUCUAAAGGGUUUAUAAUAAUACCUCUUCUUGGGUUUUAUUAGAGGUAAUAAUGUGCAGAUCACUGGCAGAGAAUCUGGUACAUAAUAGGUGAUCAAUACCUGCUAGCUGUUGUUAUUACUUAUUACAUCGUAAUUGACUAAUUUGGCAGGGGUUAGAAAUUCACAGGCCAGUGCAGAGAGAAGAUGAAAAGGAUGGAAGAAAUGUUUUGCCCUUUGUUAAAACAUCAACCAGCACCUCUGUUUUGCAUUCACUUCACCCCAACACCUAAAAGAGUUUGUAUUCCAUAAAAAUCACUUUUGAGAAUCUUUGUCUCUCUCAGUGAGUUCUUGUGCAGUUUUAUGUGUUUUUAAGGAACCAAUUUUUAUUAUCGACUACAAAUUCAAGAGAAAAAUUGAAAUAUUGUUCUUAAAGUAGAGAAUUUUAGCAUUUAAUAGAGAAUUUUGUUUUUGUUAUUGGUAUUCAUUAGUGGAUGUCAAAUAGAUCUGACAUACGUUGUCUUCUGUUUCCUCUUUUCUGUGAAAUGGGUUGCCAACAUUUUUCUAAAGUACUGUCUUUCCAUCAAUGUUAGUAACAGAUAAAAGCAAUGCACAGACAGCAUCAGACAAAAUGUUGAAGAAAAUUCAUAUUAAAAGUAUUAAUUGAAAAAAUUUUAGAAUAAAUGUUAUCUAGGUAUAUGUAGCUAUCCAGGGCAGGGUGUUCGUUCAUUUCUUUCCUUCUUUUUUUCUUACUUUCUUUCUCUCUCUCUCUUCCUUCUUUUCUUCGUUCCUUCCUUCCUUUCUUUCUGUCUCCCUCUCUCUCUGUCUCUCUUUCUUCCUUCCUUACUUCCUUUACUUUCUUUUCUCCUUUAUUCCUCUCUCUUUCUCUUUCUUCAAUUAUAUUAAUAUUACAAAAGACUCAAGCCUAUUUUGGAUUAAGUCCAACGUCAGAGAAUAAUGCAAUUUUACCAAAGGUGGAAGGGACUUUUUACUUCCUUAUAACAAAUUCUGCCUCCUUGACCUGCCCAAAGGAGAAAGAAAAAUCCUUCUUUUUUAUUCUAUUCGGAGGUUUUAAUCCUUAAUUAGCAACAUCAUUUUGAUUAAAUAAGACUCUGGAGGAUUAAGACUGGAGAGCAAUCAGUUGCUCUGAAAGAUAGCUCUGGAGAAUUUAUUGUACUGUGGUCUUAGUCAUUCAGAGUUGUGUUUAAUCAAAGUGACAUUUCUCAGUGUUGAUUACAAAGGAGACAUUAUAUGAAUGAAAUAUUUCUUUUGGGAAACGGAGAGGACUCCCAAUGGAUUUGUGCUUUAGGACUUUGGGAAGGGGGUGGGGUAAUGGGGUGAAAAUGAAUUUCUGCAGCUGUGAGGAGCCAGGCUAAAUGUGGGAUGAACACGUUUUGAUUUGGUUACUUAUUAUUUCCUAACGUCAUUAAAAUCUCUGAUAAAAAAAAUCAUGCACUAUUUUUAAAAGCUAAAAUGAAAGCACCUAGAAAUCUGUAUAAAGAAUCAGAGCAUUAUUCUUUAAUGUGAUAAAGGACUAUUUAGAUGGCAAGUUCUUGAAGGCUGAACCUGGCUGUUUCCGUUUUUUGUGGGUUUUUUAAGUUUAAAAACAAAACUAAAGGAAAACUUUUAUGAACAAGCGCUUGUUGCAACUUGUAGAAAUGAAUGCUAACUCUAUUCCUGUACAUACUGCAGGGGUUGGCUGCAAGAUGGACAGACAUCCUGCUGGGCAGCCAGAUAGCUGGUAGAUCCUUAGGAGUUUUAUGAUCUUCAGCAUGUUCCUUAACCUCUCAGAGCCCCAGGACCCUCAGCCAGCUUGCACGGCUGUUGUAUAGCUUAUAUAUAAAGAAUUCCAGCACAUUAUAGCUUUUCAAACCAUGUUCGCUACUGCUAUUAUUAAAUGACAAAUGUCAUCAGCUAAAAUCAUUGUCUUAAUUCUGGGAAAGAGGGAACCCAUUUAGGAGGAGGUCAUCUUUAAAAUGGGCAGCCGUUAACUUAUAAUCUAUGUCUCCAAGUCAAAAAUGCCUCUAGAAAUUAUAAGCCUGGUUAAUAUAACAAAUUGCAGUCAUGUCUUUAAAAAACAACAUACUACUUGAAUCUAUAACCACUUGAAAGCUGCCUCCAGUUCUAUUUUCAGCACAGAUGUCAGAUGUUCAUAGUUACAGGACCUUUAAUGAGAUGUGUCAUUGCAUCUAUACCACCUAAAGCUUCCCAAUGAUCCUGUUAAGUAGUAUAGACUGGAAGUCUCAGGCAUUGAAAGCACUGCUUCCGAGUAGAGCUGCCAAAUGUAGGUGAGAAAACCACUCCUAGCCAACAUUGCCAUCUGGUACUGGAUCUUCCUCAACUAUGUACCUCAUUGAAAGAAUAAAGCUAAACUCCCUAAAAUCAAGAGGCAUAGUAAUCUGCCAACAUCUUUAUGUAAUUAUCCAGAUCAGAACCUGGCUCUUUCAGCAUUUUCCAAAAUCUGAGGUGUACAAUUAAGAGUCACCACACUGGAGAUCAUCUAGGCAAAUACACCUGUGCAGAAUCUUUUCUGGAAGCAAAAAGAAAGGUGGAUAAUUAAGUCUUUUCAUAAGCAUAAUUUUAAAUUCUACCACAAUUAACCUCAAAUCUUGCUUUCACAUUUCUCUACUUCCUUUACCUGAUAAUUUGCAUCCCAUCUGCAUAUCAUAGUCUGUUGCUAACCAGUUACCAGAGUGAAUUAUGCAUGAUUUAAAGGACCAAAUAGGAUAUAGCUAAAGUUUUUGAAAAAUUCUAGAGUCUGACUUAUUGCAUCCCAGAAAUUUUGAAUAUCUGGUACUCAAAUUGACCCUACAUAAUAUCUGUUUUAUAUGAAAAAGUUUUGAUUUUAAUACUUACUUACUCGUAUUUAGCAUCUUGUAACUUAGGGAAACACUAGAGGUAAAAACUUAUUAUCCCACAGCAUUUUUCCAGAAGCUGUUUUAACAUUCACUUCAGCGUUGUAUGAAAGCAGUGAUUCUCAUCCUAGAUGUACAUGAAAGCCGACAGAGGCCUCUUCCAAAAUACUGGUGCCUGGGCCCUGCCUUCAGAGGUUCCGAGUAUAUCAGUUUGAGGUGGGUCCCAGAGAUCCAGAUUUUUUUAAAAGCUGCCUAAGUAUUCAGGUUUGAGAACCACUGCUCUCAGACAGUGUUGCCUAAUUUUAAGAAUCACAUGAGGGCUUUGUUUAAAAACGUUUCCUAGGCCCCAUCCUCAACCUCCUAGAUGAGAAUUACUUGGGAGCAUAACUGGCGAAACAAUUCCAGAGACAUGAGAGCAUUCCAAAGUGAUCUAGAAAGAGCUUUUAAAAGAAAUGGAACUAAACAUUGUUUGAGUGCACCCCCUGGGUGCCAGCCUGCUUUGGAAACUUUUCAUGAUUCAUAGCAAUUUCUUACCCAUUUAGAAAUCUGCCUGAAUGAAAAAUUCUACCUAAUCCUUGAGAAGAGAAACAAAAUAUGAAUCUAUGUUAUUCAGCAAUAGCGAAAUCAUAAUUUAUAAGGUGCAUUUCAGCCAACGAAAGCAAAGCAGCUCAUGGGAUAAUCUUAUUAAUACACAUUAAUACUCAAAAUAUCCUCUGAGUUGCAUACUGAGGAAUAGCCUGUAAAUAACUUUAAAAAAAUCACUAGACCUGCCAAAAUUCUAUUUGCGUGGGGUGUAGCGAAGUUUAACAAAUGCUACCCGCUCACUCUAAUAACAGCAGGCACCUCCUUCUUCACCUUUGCUAAAAUUGUAAGCCUUCAGGAAAUACACUCAGAAUUCCUCUCCAAAAUAGAACUAUGGAUACCAAAGAAUAUUGAGGAAAAAAAGAAGAAAGACAAAUUUCUUACUGCUUCUGUCGCCUCCUGCUUUUCCUUAAGCCCUGUUUGGUUGCUUUUAAACUUGGCAGGUGUGUGAGUAAGGACUUAUUUUCAUCAGUAAACACGCACUGGUUCAAAGAUCUUACACUCAGGAAAUGAGAAAAUGACAUAAACACUAUUAAAAUUGGGAUGUUGACAAAAGAAAGGGAAAAAAGAGACAGGGAAUGACAGCAAGUUAAAAGAGUGAGAGAGCGCCAGCCCUGAUAGCCUAGUGCCAUGCUGUGGUGGCGGUUCACAUAGAAGAACUAGAAGGACUUAAAACUGGGAUACACAACCAUGCACUGGGGCUUUGUGGAGGAAAAAGAAAAAAAGAGGAAGAUUGGCAACAGAUGUUAGCUUAAGGUGAAACUUUACCAGCAAAGAAAAAAAAAAAAAAGCAAAAGGGAGAGAAAGACAGGCAUGCCCCAAAUUUCUUAAUUAAAAAUAUAACUAUUACCUUAAUCUUGCUGUCUAUUCACCAAAACCAAUGAUCUGCCUUUAUUAAACUGCCUUUCAUUUAACAGCGUUGUUGAAAAAAAUUAUAGAUAAAAAAUAAGAACUGUAAGGGCCAGCCCCAGGGCCGAGUGGUUAAAGUUGCAUGCACGCCACUUCAGUGGCUUGGGUUCACAGGUUAGCGUCCCAGGUGCAGACCUACUCCAGGAGUCAGCCAUGCUGUGGAGGUAUCCCACAUACAAAGUAAAGGGAGACCGGUGCAGAUGUUAGCUCAGGGCUAAUCUUCUUCAAGCAAAUAAAAGAGGAGGAUUGGCAAGGGAUGUUAGCUGAGGGCGAAUUUUCCUCACAUACACAAAAAGUGAGGACUGUAAGAUUUCCCUUUGCUCCUUCUUUCUCCAAAUUCAUGACAGCCAGAGUGUUCUUUGAAGAACUUUGAUGGGCCAAUGGUUAUGCUAAAAGAAGCAAGAGUUCACAACAGCCAUCCACCAUGAAAUCAGAGCCCAAGUGUUUCCCUGACUCUUCUAAGUCGUCCAAUUUUAUCCCAUUGAAGAGCCGCAAAUCCCCAGUGAAUUAUCUCAAUAUUUUUAAAUACAGAAUAAAACCUUCUCUUUGAACUCUUCAAAUUGUCCACUACUGCUAUGAAGACCUGCAAGUACCUCCCCUCACUGACACCUUUUCAAGUUAGGAAAGAUCAUUUUAAACUGUUUCUCUAAAAUCACUUAAAAAGUCUGAAGCAUGUCAAAAUCGGUCAGUCUAAGAAAUGACAAAAUAUUUGAGUGACUUUAAAAAUUACUACGAGAUAAAUUAAGGUGAAUGUUUAAAGUAAAUAAUCUCAAAAGGAUUGCUGAGUUUUGCAGCAACAAGUUUUGUUUCCUUAUUUGCAUUCAACACCAUAGAAUCAUAAAGACAGAAAAAAUUACCACUUAUUUGCAGUUCCUAGUCUGUAUUUAAAAGUAGACUAAAGAAACUUAUUUUUACUGCUGCUUUCAAUUUUCCUUAAUCACUGGUAUUUGUUUUGCUUUAGUGCUUUGCUCUCUGACUUUCUGGGUGAGAGGUGCUUUAUAUAUUCAAUUUGCUAGUGAGCUAUGAGAUGAAAGGAGUCUUAAUGGUGAGUUUGAAGACUGUGGAUUUUUAUUUCUUUUAUUUUUUUACAGUUGGUACAUAUACAAUUUCACCUUUAAUUAUCUGUGGCUAGUCCUGUCCAUGGAUCAACAAAGACAUAUAUAAAACAUGCCUGUACUAGGUCAUUCUUUCAGAAAAUUACAAAUCAAAUAGGUUGGGUGGCAUUCAUUAAAAACGCAUUUAGUACUUUAUGUGAAAUCUCUUUCCAUACAUAGAUACUCAGCACCAUAAUUCUUUGGUUUCUAACUACCUUUCACAAGAUUUAAGUCUUGGAAUAAUUGUAAUUUUCCUUGACCCUCUUUAGAGUAAUUCAGUUUACAUCACCAUGUUGUGUACUAAAGAGUCACACAGCGUCCUCCUGGAUUUUCUCAGCAAUACUUAGCAUUAAAAUAAAGCGUUUCCCUUGGGGCCAGCCUGGUGGCAUAGUGGUUAAGUUCAUGCACUCUGCUUCAGCAGCCUGGGGUUCUCGGGUUCUGAUCUCAGGUGCAGACCUACACACGACUUGUCAAGCCAUGCUGUGGCAGCAUCCUGCAUACAAAACAGAGGAAGACUGGCAUAAAUGUUAGCUCAGUUACAAUCUUCUUCAAGCAAAAAGAGGAAGAUUGGUAACAGAUGUGAGCCCAGGGCCAAUCUUCCUUACCAAAAAAAAGAGGAGGUUUCCUAAAGAUUGAAAGAAUUAUAACAUUGCUUUCAUCUCUGGUUUCUCUCAGUUGCUCAGCCACAAUUCAAGUGUGCAGCUUGCAACAGCAUGAAAGGAUGACCUGAGGCUGAGCCUAGGGACUCCAUCCAGUAGUUCUAGAAUAUUCUAACUCUGUAGCACAUCUACGUUGUGACAAGUUUCUAUUAGUGGAUUACAGUAAAUCAAUUUCCUCAGCAUGGCCAUCUUUGAUAUUUGAUUACUUUCCUAGGUGAAUUAGUGAAAGUUUGUUUAUGUUGUUUGUUCGAUUGAUUUUUUACAAGAUGCCAUGUUAUCUAUCAAGUGGUUAUUUCCUAUUUGUUGUGGACCUAGAGCUGUGCUAGAUCCCAUGGAGACAAAGAAGUGAACAUAAAGAAUAAAGUGUUGCUGUCAGGGAUUUGACAAUCUAUAUGAGAGAAGACAAAACCCACAGUAGUGAAAUAAUUGGAGAACAAAUAUUUACUUUAGAGGUUCAGAGAAGAAAGCAAGUAGAAUAUUCAAGAAAGUAUUGAAGAAGAGAGAUUUGAUAUGGGACUUCAAAAGUGAGACAGGGCACACCCAGGAACACGAGAAGUUACAGGAGGGAAAAUGAGUAAGCGUGUUUACUGGAGAGUGAGGGGACAAGCCUCAUUGGACACAGCUCCUUUCCAAAUGUGUAUCACGUAUCUGUCUAUCUCUGUCCCUUUCCUUUGCAACCACCUUGGUCCAGUCCACUCUUAGCUCUCAUCCAGCCUAUUAAAAUAGCUGUAAUUGGUCUCUUUACCAGGGCCCAUCUACAAUUCAUAAAGAUGACACAAUAAUCUUUCUUUCCAUUUAAAAUCAGAUCAUUUCAGGCCCCUGCUCAAUUCUCUUCAAAUGUCUUCCCAAUGCACUAGGAAUAAAACCCAGAUUCCUUACUAUGGGCUUCAGGGUCCUAAGGGAUCUGGACCACACUUAACUGCUGGAUCUUCUCUUCUAAAGCUCUUUUCCUUUCUCACUAUGCUCCAACUUCACUGUUCUUUUUCUUCCUGAAAUUGAGAGUGGAGAAAAAUUCAGAACAGCAACAACAUUUGCUUGGCACUGUGCAGCUAGUCUGUGUUCUUCAUUCAGUCUUUGAAAAAACUCUGUCCAGCAGGUAUGAUCCUUAUUUUUAAAAUGAAGACUUGGAAUUCCAGAGAGCCUAAGAUCACAGAUCAUGUGACUGUCAGAGCUAUGACUCAAACUCAUCUCUUCUGACCACCAUUCUGAAAGGAAAACACAGUAUUUAUAAUUAAUGAUAUGUAAAAUGUGGUGAGAGGCAUGACUGAAAGGUAAUUUUAAAUGUCAAAGGCUGGAUUAAUGAGGAAAUGGUGAUGUCAUAAAAUCAAUAACUGGAAAGAAAUAUAAAAAGGACACCUAGCCCAGUUAGCCUCUCCUUAGAGGCUGCACCAGAACAGGUGGCUUUUACUGCUGGCUCUGCAGCAACACAGCUGAGUCACUUCCGUUCUCCAGCGCUCAGAUUUCCUCUCUGAAAAAGAGGGAGAAAAUUUUUAUUACCUUCAUUUAGGUAAAGAUUUCCCAAAUACGACACUACGAGCAUGAUCUGUCAAAGAAAAAAAAAUAAUUGGACUUCAUCAAAAUUAAGAAUUUCUGCCCUUCAAAAGGUACUAUUAAGAGAAUGAGCCACACACUGGAGAAAAUAUUUGCAAAUCACAUAUUUAAUAAAGAACUUGUAUCCACAAUAUAUAAAGAAUUCUUAAAACUCAAUAAUAAAAAAAAACAAACAACUCAAUGUUUAAAAAACGGCCAAAAUAUUUGAAGAGAAACUGCACCGAAGAUGAUAUACAGAUGGCCAUCAAGCACAUGAAAAGAUGCUCAAUAUGAUUCGUCAUCAUGGAAAUGCGAAAUAAAACCACAAUGGGAUACCGUCUAUCAAAAUGGCUAAAAUUAAAGAUUGACCAUACCAAGUGUUGCCCAAGCUUUGGAGGGAUUAGAACUCUCACACACAGGUGGUGGUAAUGUAAAAUGUUACAACCACUUGAAAACCAUUUGAAAAUUUCUUAAAAUGUUAAAUAUACAUCCACCAUAUCACCCUGCCAUUUCACUCCUAAGUUUUUACUAAAGAGAAAUGAAAGUCUAUAGCUAUACAAACACUUACACAUGAAUGUUGAUAACAACACUAUUUGUAAUAGCCAUAAGCUGGAAAUUGUCCAUCAACAGAUAAAUGGAUAAAUAAGAUAAGUUGUAGUAUAUAUAUAUAUAUAUAAUGAAAUAUUACUUGUGAAUAAAAAGGAAUGAACUACUGAUAAACAUGACAACACGGAUGACUCUCAAAAUAAUUACGCUAAUUGAAAGAAGCCAGGUAAAAUGAGUGCAUACUUGAUAAUUCUAUUUAAUUGCAAACUAACCAAUAGUGACAGAAAAGAUCAGUGGUUGCCUGGAGAUGAGGAAAUGGCAAGAAGAAGCAAUAGGGAGGGAUUAUCAAGGGACAUAGGGAAACUUUUGGGAAUGAUGGAUAUGUUCACUGUCUUGAAUGUGGUGAUCAUUUCAUGGGUAGAUACAUAGUCAAAACAUCAAAUUGUACACUUUAAACAUAUGCAGUUUAUUAUAUGUCAGUUAUAUCUCAAUAAAGCUGUUUAAAAAAGAGAAAAAAGCAACAGUAAUGACAGUAUGGUAUUGGCACAAGGAGAGAUUAGCAGAAAGAAUUGAGAAUCAGGAAAAAAUAACACGUUUACAUGGCCAAUUGAUUUUCCAAAAAGCUGCUAAAAACAUUCAAUGGAGAAAAGAUCAUGUUGUCAAUAAAUUGUGCUGGAGUAGCUGUAUAUCAUAUAGAAAAAGAUUACCCGUAACAUCCUACUGAAAAAUUAAUUCAAAGUGGAUCAUUGACCUUACAAAAGAUCUAAAACUAUAAAACCACUGAAAAAAAAAAAAGGAGAAAAACUUGUGACCUGCAUUUAGAAAGUAUUCUUUACAUAGGACACAAAAAGCAUGAACCAACAAAAAAAUUGAUGAGUCAAAAUUUAUUAAAAUUAAAAGCUUUUGCUUAUCAGGAGAUUUUAUUAAGACAAUAAAAAGGCAAGCCACAGAUUGGGAGAGAACAUUUGUAGUACAUAUAUCUGACAAAAGACAUGCAUGGAGAACAUAUAAAGAACUUUUACAAAUCAACAACAAGAAGACAAAUUACCCAACUGAAGGAACAGAGAGAAUUUCCGGGAUAGGCCAAGAGAGCAGCCCCAUUCAUUCCAGGUCCUCCUUUUUAUAUCUUAAAAACCCUGACAUAACACAGCAAACUUAGGAAGGUUCUGAAAGGUGGAAGAAAGAAGAGAGUCUCUACCUAGAGAUCUUAGAACUUGAGAGAGGACAGCAGUGAGUUUUCCUUUUGCCAACAGUCAGGGCAAUGGAGAAAUCUAUAACCUGGCAGCAGCAAGAGGUAUGGUGGGGGCAAGGGUUGGGGGAGAGCUGGAGAAGAUCCCAGAAAAGUCUGCUCCCCUUAGGCAAAGUACUAGAAAAAUAGUAGCCUAACAUAAGAGAUAAUCUGUUUGACAAUAGUUGCCCUACUUCAGACAAACACUCUGGAAAGACUGCAUUCCCUCCGCCCCUCUGGCCCUAUUGUUUCAGCAAGAAACAGGAAUCUAAUAUUUUACACACACACACAUACACACACUUGAGCAGAAGCAGGCAGGGACACUCUGAUUCCCCAGCCUGAGUGGUGGUGUUCGGGCCAAGCAAAGAGAGGUCUUCCAUCCCCUGCCCACCAGAAACAGGCAGUGCUCCCAUCCGCCCUCCUGGGUCCUGUCAGCUGGGCACAGCAGGGAACCGAGACUCCAUUUCCAACAGCAAGUGGAAUGAGGUGGGGUAAAGAGGCUGCUCCUCAAUUAAUUAACAAUGUAAUUCCUCCCUCUCCCUCCCCUCACUUUGCAGUACUCUUCUGAGCAACAGAGGAAAUAAUCCUGGGUAAAAUUCAGCUCUCCGCCUGUUCCGUUACUGUACUCACACAGGCAAACAAGUCUGGAGAAAAAUGCCAAAAUCGUGCUAUGUUCACAUUAACUUCAUGACCAACCUCAAGUAGCCCGUUACCAUCGCCUAGCAAGUUUACGGUUUCCACUCCUUCCCUAUCGUCUUCCUCGUGUGACUAUUUCUGAUCUUUUCCUUUCUUCUCAAGCCUUCAAUAUCCCCUUCCCAUAGCCAGUCUUACCUGUUGACUCUGCUUCUUCUUUCAUGUAGAGGAAAGUAGAGAAGAAGAAGGGAGAAAGCCAAAAAGGAAGGAGAGAGGGAAAGAAGGGAGGAGGGAAGGAAGGGAGGAAGGAAGGAGGGAAGGAAGGAUCAAUUAGAAGAUGUACAGGAAAUACCAUAGGAUGACCCUGAAUAGGUCACACUCUUGAUAGACCCAUCCCCCUGAGUGUGGAAAACAACCUGUGACCAGAUUCUAGACAACAGAACAUGGCAAUGAUGACGGGAUAUCAUCCCCUGAUUCUGUUAUGUUGUAUGGUAAAGGUGAAGGGAUUUGCAAUGCAAUUAAGGUCUCGAAUCAGCUUUUGAGUUAAUCAAAGAGGAGAUUAUCCGGGUAUCCUGGGUGGGCCUGAUCUAAUCAGCUAAGCCCUUUAAAUUUUUGUGAUAAUUUGUGUUCUAAAACUUAGAUCUAUUAGUGUUUGCACAACUGAAACAUUUACCAAAAUUCAUAAAGCUAUAUAUUUAAAUGAGUAAAUUUUAUCAUAUUUAAUUUUACCUCAAUAAUUGUUUUAAGUUAAUGUUAAGACACCUCCUCCCCCCUGCAAUGGGAUUCUAACAGCAGGAUUUACACCCAAUGAAGGGUUGAGAGGGAGAAGUGAUUUCCUCAGAACUUGCAAAACAGACCAUUGGGAUGGGUACUUAUUUGUAAAACUAAUCUUUACAGGAGACGCUAAAAGUUUUAUGCAAAUGACACUCAUUUCUUUGGUUUAAUGCAUGGUCUGGGUAUAACCUGAGUGUUCCUGAGUUUUCCCAUACUUUGAAAAGUGGAAUAAAUAGGAAGACCCAACUCCUUAACCACGUUACCUUUUCCAGGUUCAGUAGGUGUAUUCAGCUAUGCAGUAUGGCUUCUUUAGCGCCACAACACAGAGUUGAGCAGUUGCUGUAGAGACCUUAGGGCCUGCAAAGCCUAAAAUAUUUACUAUUAAGUGCUUUACAGAAAAAAAUUUGUCAACUGCUGCUUUAGAUAAAAGAGAAUAUACUAUACGUCUAUUCUAAAGAGGAAUGAAACAAAGAUAAUGAAACUGAUAAGACGUAGGUGAUGUGGAUACACUUAUUAAGAACUCUAAGAAACAAUAUUUACAAAGUCUAACAUGCCACUAUUUUAUAGCUUACAUUUAUGUAAAAGCAUUCUAAUUAGCAGCUGUUAUUGGAAGUAUCUCAAUGAUACUUUUAUUUUCAUCUGUCUGUGUACCCCAAUUUUUAUUGGAUCGUGAACCUAAAUGCAACUGCUAUCUUUCCAGGAAUAUCUUACAUCCGGCACUCAGGGGCCUGGGCUCUGGUUUUACUUAUUCCUUUUACGUCUACGCUUUUGGCUCUGAUAACUUUUCCUAUGAUGCACUAUAACCUGAUCUAUCAGCCAGAAAAAUGUAAGUAAAUCACGCUUUGCAUUAAAUUUUUUGGCUUUUAUGGUUUUCUUGACACAUCUCUUUUCUAUUCGGUUCCCUAUAACUUCACUUUCAACUCACAGAAUUUGUAGAUUCUGCCAGUUAUUACACUUAAGAGUAACAAUGUCUGCAAGAAUCUCAAGAAUCCUUAUCUUCUUUUAUUUUUCCCUUGUUAAAAAAGUUUUAAUAAUGGAAUAUUUUAAACAUAAAAGUAGAAAAAAAUCAUAUAUGAACUCCAUCUAUCUAGCCUUCAGCUUCAACAAUUAUCAACCCAUCUCCAUUCACUUUUGCCCCAUCUCACCUGGUAAUUUUGAAGCAAAAACUAAAUAUAACAUUUCGUUUAUGUGUGUGUGUAAUAAUGACACUGUGAUUAUGUCUUUUUUAAAGUAUUUAACAUAUAUAACACACACACAUAUGGAAGGAGCGAAUACCAUCAAAUAUCUGGUCACUAUUAAAAUCUCUCUGUUUCCAAUUUUUAAAUUUAUUUUGUUUUGUUUUAUAGUUCAAAUCAAGUCCAAACAAGGCCCAUAUAUUGCAGUUGGCAUGUAUGUCCCUUAAACCAUAUAUAUGGCCCCUCUUCAUCUCUGUCUCUCUCUUUUCAUUUUUUUUUAAGAAAUCUGAGCAUUUCAUAGAGCAUUUCCCAUCAUCUGGAUCUUGCUGAUUACAUCCACUUGGUUUCAUCCCACAGGUUUUCUCCCUCUGUAUUUCCUGUAAAUUGUCUGAUAGACUUAGAUGCUCUAUCAUAUUCAGAUUUUUUAUUGAGGGGGGCAAAACUCCUUCAUAGAUGGCAGUAUGUACUUCAGUCAAGAGGCAUAGUAUCUGACUAUCUCUGUUUUCGCCAUGUCAACAUCCAUUGAUGACUUUUGCCUACUACUCUUUUGGGGGUUGCAAGGUAGUGAUAGUCUACACUUCUUUUAUUAGCUGAAGAAAUAGAAAUCUCUCUUCAUCAACCAUUUAAUUACACAGAGGCACAGUUUAUGUAAGAAGAAGAAGAUAAAUGUCUAAUUCUUUCCCUCUAUUUUUAGAUUUUCAAAAUAAUGAAUUGAGCUUCAAUAUCUUCUAAAGAUGAUCUUUAGCAGUUUUUUUAAACUAUUACUGUUAAUUCGUGGACUUAAAUUUUUCAAUGUGUUUCAAUCUACUACAAUUAUUGAUGCUCAAAUUUUUCCCUAUUUGGACAGUGGGGUCGUCUUCAUGCUGGUGCCUGAGUCCUCCAGACAAGCCUCUGUUAUCACCGAUUGCUUCCCUGCUUUCUGGUAUACCAAGAUAUUCUCUGGUCGUGAUUUCCUCCCCUAAACUUUGCAUCAUCUCUUUCUCCAAAGAAUUGUGUUUCCUUUUCGUGUAUAACGGUAUUUAUAAACUACAGUCUUCUCAAUGGGGAUGCUUACAUCCCCAUUGUAGCUUGCAGCUUACAGCUUACAGCUACUUAGUCUAUCACAGUUUCCAGGUCUUGUCAGUGCACAAAGCUGGAAAUUUUUUUUCUUUCUAAGAUAAUGUACAUUAUGGAGGAUAGUAAUACCCUAACCAAAGCCAGUGCUACAGAUUUUUACUAAACCUUACCAAACUCAGAUCUUUUUCGACGUCUUCCCAUGACAAAAAUCCCAGUUCUCAAUGACAGCAAUAUAUUUGCAUAUUUGCUUUAUCCUAAUAUGGCUAUUGAAAACACUUUCAAGAUUCUUCUUGCAGUUUUUUUUCAUGUUAUAAUCCCUGGGAAUGUACACUAAAAUUAUUGUUUUAAAGUCACCUGGUAUAGUCCUCUCUGUCUGGUUAUCCCACUAACUUAACUUUAAACACAAUUAAGCACAUUUGUUCCAUUUUCCUUUAUGCUUUGAGGUAUUUUUAAAAUUUAAGUUUUUUAAAUUGUGUAUAUAGUUUCAUGUUUCUAAAAAUCCAUGUACAAAACAAGUUCGACUUAUAUUCAUGUAUCCUCUCAUUCCUUUAGGUGUCCAUUUACAUAUUUUUAAAGAAUUCUUCUUCUAUUAUUUUAAUAGAGGAAAAUAUUAAAAUUUUACAUAUGUGUGCUUGUGUUUCUAUGUAUAUGUAUGUAUUUUUGCCCCUUCUUAUAUAAGCAGUAGCAUAUUAUCCAUACUUUUCUCAUGUGCUUUUUUCAUUUAAUAUAACCUACGGAUUGCUUCCAUUGUAUAUACAAAUAUUCCCCAUUCCUUUUUAUAGCUGCAUAGUAUUCCAUUGUGUGGUGAACUAUUGUCUCUUUCACCAGUCUUAUAUUGAUGGACAUUUGAGUUUUUUCUUUACUUUUGUAGGUUCUAAUGAAUAUCUUGGUGCAUACUUCUCUUUGCAUUUUUUUCCCAGCAUAUCUUUAGGAUAGAUUCCUACAAGUAGGAUUGCUAAGUCAGAAAGUAAAUCCAUAGAUAAUUUUGCUAUAUAUUGCCAAAUUCCCUUCUGUAGUGGUUGUACCAUAUUGUGUUUUCACCAAAAAUGUAUGAGAACGCCUGUUUCCCCAUAGUCCUCCAACAGAGUAUGUUAUCAAGCUUUUGGAUUUUUGCCAAUUUGAGGAUGGGAAAUGGCAUCUCAGUGAGGUUUUAAUUAACAUUUCUCUAAUUAUGAGAAAGUUGAACAUCUUUUCAUUGCUAUAGAGCAAUUUGUUCUUUUUUUAAGUGAACUACCUGUUCAUCUAUCUAGUCCAUUUUUUCUAUAGGGCCUUGGAUUUUUUUCUUUCAGUUUUUAGAAGAUUUUUAUAUAUUAGGGAUAUUACUUUUUGUCUAUGAUAGAAGUUGCAAAUAUUUCCCGUUUGUCACAUAUUUUUAACUUUGCUUCUUGAGUUAUUUUGCAAGCAUAAGACUUCCUAAGUUUUUGUUUUUUGUCUUUUGGGGAGGUUUAUGUUUAUAAGUCAAAUUUAUGAAUCUCCUCUCUUACUGCUCAUAAAUUUUGAAUCAUGUCGGAAAAGUUUUCUUCACUCCCGGAUUGUAAAGGAGUUCACUCAUAUUAUCUUUGGGUACUCAUAUUAUUUCCUUUCUUUUUUUUUACCUUUGCAUCUCUGACCCAUUUGGAAAUUGUAUUAGAAUAGGUUUUAAGAGUGAACUCAACUUUAUCUUUUUUUUUUGUAUGACUAUUAAGUUAUCUAAACUCACUUAUUAAAAAGUCUAUAUUUUCCCCACUAAUUGGAGUUGUCAUCUUCAUUGUAUACUGCCACUUGAAUUUCUGGAGUUUCUAUUCUGUUCCUUUGCUCAAUCCAUUCAUCUGUCUUAUUUAACUCUGAACUUAAUUUCUAACAUAUUUUGCUUUUAGUAGUACUUUGACUACUGCCACUGUUUCUACUACUUAUCUAUACAACUACCACUAACGGCAGUGCAAUCACUUGUAUUUUUAAAAAUUGAGCACAUUCGCCAAUGUUACUUUUGGUGUUACUUUGGUCAUUUUGACCACACACCUGUGAGGUAGGUCGGGGGGGCACUGUAUAUCCUUUUACAGGCCAGACUCCAUAUGCUUUACCUCUGCUCCUGUAACACCCUGAGAUAUCUUUACUGUUUCAUCUCCCACAGUAUGUUGAAAUGAUCCCUUUAUGAAAACGAUUAGAAAUUCCUGUGUCUUAUAAAUACUUGGAAUGUGGCAAAUGCUCGAUCAGUGUUUGCUAUUGUUAAACUGACUGCUGAAACGGAGACAUAAUUUAAUUAAAUGAGUUGCCCAAGACCUCACAGAAAAUGGUGGAAGUAGAACCAGAAACGAGGUCUUAUUUUUCUCAGUCUAGAGCUCAUUUUAUUACACCAUCUACUCAGUCAGUGAAGCAGGGAAAAUAUCACCCCCAGAAGCCUCUGCACCUGUUCUCAGAGCUCUGUGGUCUGUGGAUCACCGCUCAGCAGCACAUGCGCUCCUGGUAGUCUGUGGAAUGGGUUCAAUGUGCAAAAAUGCGUCUGAGACAUUGUCUCUGUCAGACUCAAAUAGCAGGAAAGAAGAAAAUGUAAAGUAUAAACGUUUAUUGAAAGACCACUUUGGCACUUUCUGGAGUGUGUAAUUAUCAAAUAAUUCUGCGUGUUUGUAAUAUAUAUACAUACAUAUGUACAUACAUAAUUUUUAGAUUCCGAUUUUCUAAAUAGCUGUGCAGCAGCCAUCCAUUCACUUCCCAAUCUCCUAUUUGAAAAUAUACUCAGCUGAAUAAAGAAAUACAAUUCUUCAAAUAACAGAUCUUUAUAAUCAACUCUGUUUACUGCCAGCCUAUUGUAGUUCAUGUGUUACAUAUUUUAACAUGUGAUAAGGUAACCUUUCUGUGGACAUUUACAAGAAAACAUUUUAUCAGCUGCAAGUAAAAUUAUAAUAGAAAAUGUUCACCAGUGGUGUACUUUACACAAUACUCUACAAAAUGAAUAUUCUGGAGUUGUUUUUUGUUUUGUUUUCUAUUUCCAAGUUAUAAGAUCACCCAACUAUGAUGAAGUAAACUCUGUCUUCCUUCUAGCAAAGUAUAUAAUCCUUAUUUUGGCUUCUUUCUUUCUGAUGACUAAAUUGGAAAUUCCUCAAAGCUGUAAUUCAAAGCCAUAGGUGACCUUAAAGAAAUGAUUUUUCAUAUGCUACCUUUUAUUUUAAGGUAACUUUUCAAAUGUGGACCAUGCAUUCCAUUAUGUUUAGCUGUCAAGCACAGCCUUCAUUUGCAUUUCUUCCCACCGCUAUAAUUUUGAGAACUGGCAGGUGACCAAAGAAGAAAAAAUGUGCAUCUACCAUCUAGAGUGCAAUGUAGGCUUUUUUUAUUAUAAUUAAGUAGCAUAGAUAUUCAUGAUUAGAUCAAGGUCAGAGGAGCAGAACAUCAGAGCCAAGGACUUAAAGGUACAAAGAAUAGAAAAAUUGCUUUCUAAUAUUUUUUUUUAAAUAGUAAUAGCUACAAUCUUUAAGUUUUGCAAUAAAACAUUUAAAAUAGCUCAUCUGUUUUAUUUUAAAAUGUGCACGCCUGGUGUGUUUGCCGUGCACAUUUAAAGUGGAGCUUGAAGUCUCAGUUGCAUUUUCAUUCCAGUUUUUUUUCAACCUCUCAUUUCUGCUCCUGGUGCAGAAAAGCAAUUUGAGAAUUAUAAUGACAAUGGAUUUUUUUUUAAGCCUGAGUCUACAUGACACCCAAAAUUAUUUGUACAGAAGGCAUAAGUUUUCUAUUAAGUCUAAUGGAUUAAUCCAAGGAGGUGGUGUGAUAUUUAGAUGCAGAUGUUUUCAAUAGGAUAUCCCUCCUAACAUUCAGUGAGAACUCUGUGGUUUGAUGGAACAACGCCUCCUCCCCUUGGGUACACACCUUAUUAUACAGUUCCUUUUCUUGCCCUCUCUAACUAGCUUAUUGGCUCCCUCUCAGUCCAGCUAGUCAAUUUAGUUUUGUUACUGCCCUCCCUUCUUUCCCUCUGACUUACGACCCAUCUAGCACCUCGCCCACUCUUUCUCAGUCUCCUAAGCUAACUUUUCUCCUCUGAUACUCUCCUAACUGACAGGGGGCCCUAGGAUUUCUUCAAGGGACCUCAUGUCUUCUCUUCCCAUCCUCUUUCCUUAAGUAAUCUCUAGUUUCAUGCCUUUUAAUGCCAAUGACACAAGAAACACUCAAUUUCAUAUUGACUUCUCUCUUCACCUUGAAACUCAUAUAUGUGACUUCCUGUUUGACAUUUUCACUUAGUUCUCUAAUAGACGCCUCCAAAUUAACCUGACAAAAACUCGACUCCUGAUUCAGCCAACUACAAACUGACUGCUUUCUUGUUUUCUCCACCUCAGCGUGUCACCAUCACCCCAUUGUUUAAAGGACAAAAAUGUAGUAUUAUCAAAUCUUCGCAUUUCUUUAUCCAUUCCCCAUGUCAGAAAAUUCUAUUGAUUGUUCAGAAACAUAUUCUGUUCACUUCUCCUCCUUGCUACUAAUAUGUCCAAGUCACCACAACUUCUUGCCUGUCCCCUAACUUCCUCUCUAGUCCCCUAAAAUACAUUGUCUACACAGCUAUAAGAGUUUUAGAGUAACUUUUUAAACAUUUACCUAAUAUGAUAUCUCUGAACUGCAUAAAACUUUUUUUCUUUUUUGAGGAAGAUUAGCCGUGAGCUAACUGCUGCCAAUCCUCCUCUUCUUGCUGAGGAAGCCUGGCCCUGAGCUCCCAUUUUCCUCUACUUUGUAUGCGGGAUGCCUGACACAGCAUGGUGUGCCAAGCGGUGCCAAGUCCACACCCAGGAUCCGAACCUGCGAAGCCCGGGCUGCUGAAGUGGAACGUGUGCACUUAACCACAGCGCCACCAGACCAGCAACUGCAUAGUCGUUUCCUAUAACACUGGAGAUAAACUCCAAGCUCCUUGCUUUGGCCUGUGAAGUCUGACUCCUGACCAACUCUUGGACCUCGUCUCCUUCCAAUCUUCUUCUAACUGAGCCACUGCCUCAUUGGCCUUUACUGUUCCUGAACCUCUCCCAGCUCAUUUCUACCUCAUGACGUGUCUGGCAUAUGCUUCCUCCACGUCUUCUUACCUACUUGCAGUCAUUCAAUUCUCAGUUCAAAUUUCAACUCUUUAGGGCUCCUCUAUACCCUACCACACAAUGGGUCUCUAUCUUAUCAGUCCAUUUUGUUUCCACCAGUGAACUUGCCAUACUAUUUUUCUGCUUGUUUAAUCUCUCCCCCACCAGAAAAAAAACUCAGGGAUUUGUAGGUCUUUUUCACUGCUAUAUUCUCAAGUCCUAGAAAAGUUCCUGGCACAUAAUAGGUACUUAAUAAAUAUGUUGAAUGAAUAACAGAUUGCAUUCACAUUUGUUUGGCAUCAAUUAUGUACACUCUCAGUGCUAGUUAAAAUUUUAGACCUCAUUCAUGUUUAAUCAUUUCUUGUUCUUAACAGUUUUGUUUUUGUGGCUUCAUAUCCCCAUAUCAGAUACAAGUUUACUUGUUUAAAUAAAUUCAUGUUUCAGAGUAUGUAUUCAAUUUGGCCAGUGCUACUCAGAGUCUGAUCCAUGGAGCAGGGCUGCUCAAUGGACUUUUUGUUACCGAUAUGCAGACAAAUAAAUUCAGACACUGAGAGAAAACAUGGAGAAAUAUUUAUGGAAAGUUAUAUUUUUUCAUCUGUUGAAUCUAAUAAUAAAAAUAUCAACGCAUAUUUUGUUUGCCUUUGUCUUAUUUUAUUCUUUAUGUAUUUCAUUUUUAGUGUAUUUCACAAAUGUAUUGACAUAAUUGUUGAGAAAUUUUUUUAAAAAACUGAUCUUUUAACACAGCUGGUUUAAGAAGCACUAAUCUAAGCUACUUUCCUUUAGAAAUAAUACAAUAAUGAUAUUUAACUGUUCAAUAAAAUUAUUAAAUUUAUCAUGAAUUAAAAGCAGAUUCAAAUUUAUCUUGCAACAGACAGUGAUUUGUUUAUACAAAAAAGGAAUAGAGAGUUUAAAACGUUAUAUUCAAUAUAAUGAAUUUAAAAAGUAAAGGAGAAAUUGGGGAGAAUCUCUUUGCCAAUAGUCUUUCACCAUGCACAUAGUUAGCGUUUCGUAAUAAAGCCUGUUUGAAAGCAUAGAGUAAGUUGUAACGAUGCCAGUAACAACCCUACUAUCUGAACAGCACUGUUUUGCAAGAGCAGAGCAGAGAACAGUUGAUGAGCAACAGAGACAAGCUCAUAAGCAGAGGUCAGGAAGUUAAGCUCCUAGCCCAGACCUGUUCAAAUUCAGUAUCUAGACUGUUCAUGAAAACAUUCUCAGUUCUCAACUUACUAAAACCUUAAGUAAACUCAUUUAAAUAGCUAGAAAUGUCUCAUAAUAGCAAUAAUAAAGAGAAGUCCUUAUUACUUCUUUCUAAGAGAUACAAAGCUUGGCUACUCGUGGGUGCUUCUGCACCCUUGGCUUUCUCAGUCCCUGGGCCUUUCAUGUGUGUUUGGCAAUAGUGACUAAGAAGAGGCAGUAGUAACUAUAGAUAUGAGUCCUUCUGUCAGCAGUUAUCCUGACAUACGUCCACCUGACCUAAAUACACUUCAUAGAGGCCACCAAAGAGCCAUCGUUGUAAUCAUUCUUGGUCACUACCAAUUUGGGCUGGAUUUGAUUCAGUGACUUAGAGGUUAAAGGCUCCAUAUUCAAUUCUGAGGGUUCCAGCUUCCUCAAUUAAUCAAAAGCUGACAUAAUAGUUCUAUUACAACUGAGAUCAAGUCAAUAUAAUCACUUUAUAAUCAUAAAAAGAAAUAUUAAUAAAUAUUCUUUAUUUAAAAAUAAAAGCCAAUACUCUAUGACAUUUAAAUGAACUUGGUUAGAAUGCAUUUCACCUGGAAUUUUAUCACAGGAAACUUGAACAUAAUCAAAAUGACCAUCAAACUAUACUUUGAGUUUCUCUAUUGGCCUUCUUUGGAGAAACUCAAACUUUUCAACAUUUAUUAUACCAUUUAUUCUACAACCAUGGUUUGAUGUCUAUAUAAUUUGUGAAAAUAUUUAUCUGGUCAAAAGGGGUGCUAUGAAAAAUUGUAACAAUUAUGAUGGCACAGCUGAACUGCUAACUAAAUGGGGGUCUCUAAUCUGUCAUUGUAUCAGGAAGUCCUAAUGGAGUCAAAGAAAAGGUGGAAUCUGAAAGGUCAUAAAAUGAACAACAAUGAGGUUGCAAAUCACUAGCAGUAAGUGACUGCAAGCUUCUAAGGCCAUAAAAUGCUUCUGAUGCUAACGCGACAGCCACAUAACCCCAGAGGAAGCUACUGGAAAAGUCAAAAGCCAACUAAUGCAAUCUGAACUUUGAGUGACACUAUCAACAAGUACAAAGUCAUUGAAGAGUUCAAAGUUUAAUCUUAUGUCUGAAAUUCAAGGAUAAAGUCAAAGCAGGGACUAUGUUUCCCUUCAUCUCCAUGUCAAAGUAAGAAACCAUCCUCUCCCUGACAAGUAAAGUGAGGAUUAUUUAUAUAACCAUUUACGUUAAAAAAUAGGAUCGGUUCUUUGUGUUAAGGCUGUAAAAGAAAGUCCAAGUUGUCUUAUUCAUUAAUGAGUUCAAGUUAGAGACUUCUGAGAGAUUCUGAAAUCUUUUACUUUGGUCUUUUAUUUUGUUACUCUUCUUCCCUUUUUAAUAUGUUCCCAUUGAUCUUACCUUUUUCAUUUUUUACAUCAGCUGUCAGGCACCACCUUGGGCUGGUCACCAGGAUGCCAGAACCGUUGUCAGAAGCUUCUUCCUUUGAAUUCAACCCCUUAGGUGCUAAAACCUUCUCAGUCACUUUACUUCCCUUUAUCCUUGCAAUUGUUGUCUUUCUGAUGGACAUCUUGGAAAACUGAAGAACAAUUCCUUUACUAAUACAUAAUAUCUCCAAUUAUUUGCAGGUUGCUCCCUCCUGACAACCUUUAGGGUGUUUGUUAAUGCACUGAAAACAUGCUGUCUGCGAUAUUGCCAUCUUGGCAGAGGCGUGACAAGCUGGUUAGACCAUGCCAAGGAAAAAAAUGGUGGCUGCUACAGUGAACUCCAUGUAGAAGACACAAAUUGUUUUUCACCCUUCUCCCUAUCUUCAUUUCUCAGCUCCUACACAGAAUGUGCAUUAUGCAGGUAAGGAAGCAUAAUUAACACUACCUCCACAACAAUCAAAUGAUUGCACAUUAACAUUAUAAAUAAACGUUUGUUUUCACCCCAGCAAGCGCUUCCCAUACACUUUGUCAGGCAGUUAUCCUAUAAAGGCUUCUAAUCAUUAUAGCCUGUAAUUUCAAGAGCUAAGAGGGGUCAAGCAGAGGCAUACCUGAGGAGAAUCUGCGUAUGCUGUUUCUCCUGUAGAACUAUAAAUGUCUGUCAGGAGGGGCAGACAAUACUUCAGGGUGCACAGGCGUAAGGCAUAAGAGUAGGGCAUGAAAAUAUAGGCUCUAUGGACAAUUACCCAACCUUCCCUUAGCUAAACAUUUUGCCUUCCUCCUUCAUUAAGCCUUUAAAAACUGGUACUAACAAGUAGCUAAAUUGACUGAUUUGAGUACCACCUCCACUGUGCUCUUAAGUAUAAGUCCUAAUGAGCAAGUGAUUCUCUCCCCACCUACUCUUAGUUCCUUGGUGAAUCAGUCCUUAUGCUGUGGAGAAGUCAAAAAGAAAGCACUAAGUCUAAAGUACCUUUUAUAAAUAUAUGUGAUUUUUAAAACAUUUUAACGUGGUUAAGCGUCAAAGACUAACUUACUUAUGAAGCAAUAUCAAUGAUUAUAAAAGUCUUUGAAGAAAUUUGGGACUAUCUUCAUUGCUAACCUCAACUUAGAAAUUAGAAAGCUAAUGAGUGAGUUCUACUCAUAAAUCAUAAAACAAUAAAGCUGAAAAGAAACUUAGGGAUUAAUUUACUCAAUUACUUCAUUUGUUGAAGAGGAAACUGAGGCUCAGGAAAAUUAAAUGAUUUUGGAGAAGUCGGGUAGGUCACACAGUGAAUAGUUGUGAAAGAACUCUUGACCUUUAGUACAAUGCUUGCUCCUCCAAACCAGGAGUCUGCAAAUUUCUGUCUGGAAGCCAAGUCCAGCCCACUGCCUUUUUUUGUGUGUACUUCAAGGUAAGUAGGUUUUUACAUUUUUAAGUGGUUGAAAAAAGUCAAAAGAAGAAAAAUAUUUUGUGGCUCAUGAAAAUUACAUGAAAUUAAAAAUUCAGUGUCCAUCAUAAAGUUUUAUUUAGGAACUGGCCCGGUGGUGUAGUGAUUAAGUUUGCGGGCUCUGCUUUGAUGGCCCUGAGUUCAUGGGUUUGGAUCCUGGGUGCAGACCUACACACUGCUCGUCAAGCCAUGCUGUGGCAGCAUGCCACGUACAAAGUGGAGGAGAAUGGGCACAGACGUUAGCUCAGGGCCAAUUUUCCUUUCCAAAAUAAGUAAAUAAAGUUUUAUUUGAACACAGCCACUCUGAUUUGUUCGUUGUACUGUGUCUGCUUACGCAUGAAAACAACCGAGUUGUGUAGUUCCAAUAGAAUCCAUAUUUGGAAAUAUUUACUACCUGGCUCUUUAUAGAAAAGUUUGCCAACCCUUCUUCUAAACAAUAUAUGAAAGCUAGACUGACUUAGCAGGUUCAACCUCCCCCUCGACUCCACAAUAGCAAUAGCUGGCACAAAAGCACAAAAAUAUUACCCAUAUAAUGAUCAUUUAUAUCAUAAAAGCAUCUUAGAACGGAGAAAUUAAUAAUGAGUAUAAAAUUACUAAGUGGUCUAUAGCUAGCCUUGAACCUUGUGUGCACAUAGCACAAAUUACUGAUUUUUUAUCUUCAUAAUGCAGUGACAUCUGGCAUUUCUUUUGGCUAAAUUGGAUCCUUCGCUGCAAACCGUCAUGUAUUUUUAAAUUUGAUAUAAAUUACAAUAAAUUUUGAUAAACUAAUUUUUAAGCAUCUCACCAAAUCUAGAUGCCCAGUUUAUUGCAAAGAACAAAAACUAAUACUUAUUGAUCACCUAUACGUGUUACAGCUUCUAAAAGAUGACUUCACAGUAUCUAAUUUAAUCCCCACAGCAAGCCUAUAUGUCUGAUACUGUUAACCUUAAUCCGAGGCUCAGAGACAUUAAGUAACUUGCAACUUGUUCGAUGUCACCCUCCUAAUAUAUGACAGAGCAGCCAUCCCAAUUUAGGACUCAUAUCAACUCCCAUACUUUGCUAUUACCCACAAUGCCUGUCUUGCAGCUGGGUUAAAAAUCCCUGAUACAGACUGUAUAGUUUCCAAAAUUAUAUAUACUAGUGUUGUGCUAGAAACUUCAAAGAAAAUGGUUCAAAUGUACUCAAGGGAGGCAAAGGAACUUCCAUUGAGAUAGGCUGGAAUUCGAUUUUUGCCUUCAGAUGAAAUAAUCACCAGUAUAAAGGCAAUCAAAGUACCAAGAAUAAAACAUCAUAGAAUUCCAUAUUUUAAAUUUAGUAGCCAUUAUUGACCUUCAGUUCCAAGACAUACAUUUAAAAUAUGUUGAUAUGAAGGCCAAUGACGUUGCCAUUUGACAUUACUGGCCAUUCAAAGGUGAAAAUGAAUCUCUAUUGACAGCAAUUAUUUCUGAAUACUCAGAGGCUUAUGUGAAAUAAAAGUAUUUAAAAUUUUAAAAGGGGAUGAUUUCAGAACUUGAGGCAGAAGCAGAAAUGAUUUCAAGCUUUCAAGACACUGGAGCCUUUUCUUAGAUUAGGCAAUAUAUUAAUAUUGCUUCACUAAAGAUUAAUAGUACGUUUGCCACAUUAUUAAGUUAACAGGUUUCUGUGUCUGUGAUUCAUGCCGAUAAUAACUUUAUUCCUAUUAACAAUAAUUCUCAUUUGAAAUCAGUAACAGAAACUUCCAAGUUGUGCUGGGAGCCUUUCAGUCUUAGAGUAAUUCUGCUGCUGGCACUUUUUUUUAAAACACAUCAUUCACUUUCCUCUGAUUGGGGGAUACGUGCUUAAUAAUUUUAUUGAACUAGGGCAGAACUGGCUAAUGUUCCCUUCAUUCUUGCCAUCUGUACCUGUCGGUGUCACAAUCCAAUGUACACAUCAGGAUAGAUGCGGAGAGGGCUGAUGGCCACUCUGAGUUUAUUAUAACCAGCGUUUCAAUAUAUACAUAGCUUACAUCUGUUAAACAUACACAGGUGUUCUGGAUGAAGUAAUUAGCGAAUGCCAAGAAUUCUUAGUGAUUUCUCAAGGAGCCCUCUCUUGGCCUCUGUUUUGAUAUUAUCAUGUUGUUGCUGUGCUCCUAUAUUUUUAUCUCAGAGCAGGCAAGGUCUCUUAGGCAACGGUCCCUCUUGCUCCCGAUAUCGAUAUCGUUUCUCCAUCUGUGCCCCCGGGCGGCCGCCGCCUGGCUUAGGUUGCCCCCCAGGGGGUCUUACCCGUCAUUGGCUAACUGGCCUUCUCACCUCCGGGUCACAGUUUGUUGGCAAGCUUUUUCCAGUGAUUAUUAACCCUUCCUGUGUCAGGGGCGGCUACAUUUCCCUGCCUUUUGUUUUUAAAGCAAGGAAGGCAUCAUGUUGUGCUGAGACCAGAA
rnacentral:lncRNA from 1 species